CAGUAGCGUAUAUUAAAGUUGUUGCAGUUAAAAUGCUCGUAGUUGAAGUUCGGAUGCAGCAGAGCUUGGAAACGCUGUUAUGGUGCUUCCGUUGCUUUUGCUUGUCCACAGUGCGUUGCAAGUACGUAUGUGCUUGUGCGUGCAUUCUACUUUGAGAAACAUAGGGUGUUCCACGCAUGUUACGGCAUGAAUAUUCCAGCAUGGGAUAAUCUGGUACGACUUCCAAUCUGCCAUUUUGGUUCGUAGGUUGGAAGUAAUGAUUAAUAGGGACUGUCGGGGGCAUUGGUAUUUGACUGUCAGAGGUGAAAUUCUUAGAUUCGUUGAGGACCAACCACUGCGAAAGCAUUUGUCAAGGAUGUCUCCAUUAA
rnacentral:rRNA from 1 species